CCUCCAUCACAGGCGAAGCUCUGACUCAUUCCAGAAAGCAGCUCAGCCUCAGAUUCACCUAUCAAGUCUCUUCAACACUUUUUGUAGUUUGACCAGACUCUGCAGGUGUGUGAGCUGAUGUGAAGUGAGCAGCAUGGAUCAGUGUGAGGACAGAGAGGACAGAGUCCCUCCCUCUAAAACCACUCUGUGUGGAGAACAUGAGGACCAGAGCAAAGCUCAGAGGAAACAACCAGAACCAGAACCUGGACCAGAACCAGAACCC